GAAGUAGUUCUGAGCUAAAUAUAGUUACAUAUUAGUUGUUAGAUUUGGUGUGGCAGAACCUUACCAAAAAUUAUAUUUAGGGGUGAUAGGCCUCUCAAAAACUAAGAUAUCUUGACCCCAAUGAAAUGUAUUUAGUACAGUUAAUACAUUUAUUAAGUGUUUAGGUUUAAUAACAAUAUAAAUUUAUAUACUAUGUAUUAUUACGUUUUAAUAAAUAAAUACUCACAAAACAUAAUAUACUUCUAUAAGGGUUAUAGUUAAUAGUUGGAUACAAUAUAAUUAACUAUAUUGUGAAUAAUGUUAGUAUUAGUAUUAUAUAUAAGUUUUUGUAAGGAACUCGGCAAAAGUGUUUCUCAACUGUUUAUCAAAAACAUAACUAUGUGUACUUAUUCAUAGCGGUAUCUGCUCAAUGAAUUAUUAAAUAGCCGCAGUAUUCUGACUGUGCAAAGGUAGCAUAAUCAAUUGACUUGUAAUUGAAGUCUGGAAUGAAGGAAAGUAUGGGGAGCCACUGUCUUAUAAAAAUUAUGGAGAACUUAUUUAGGAAGUGAAAAUCCUUCUCUAUACAUAAGGGACGAGAAGACCCUAGAAAUUUUAAUACUAUUAGAUAUAUAUAUCUUUAAUAAUUUUCGCUGGGGCGGCGGAGUAACAUUAAACUUACUUAUAUAAACAUGCGCCUUGUUUGGCAACUGAUAAAAUUACUCUAGGGAUAACAGCAUAAUAUUAAAAAGUUUGUGACCUCGAUGUUGGACUAGGACAUAAUAACCUAAAAGGUUUUUUAUAAUGCUCUGUUCGAGCAUAGACUCCUACAUGAUC
rnacentral:rRNA from 1 species